GUUAACCUGUGUGGAUGGUGUUCAGCACCAAGGACAGGUAUGUGUGUGGAUGGUGUUCAGCAACAGGGACAGGCGUGUUUGUGU
rnacentral:pre_miRNA from 1 species